rnacentral:rRNA from 1 species
UAACGCGUGGGUAACCUGCCUCAUACAGGGGGAUAACAGUUAGAAAUGACUGCUAAUACCGCAUAAGCGCACAGUGCUGCAUGGCACAGUGUGAAAAACUCCGGUGGUAUGAGAUGGACCCGCGUCUGAUUAGCUAGCUGGUGGGGUAACGGCCUACCAAGGCGACGAUCAGUAGCCGGCCUGAGAGGGUGAACGGCCACAUUGGGACUGAGACACGGCCCAA